ensembl:lncRNA
UUUGAUAUAUUUGGUGAUGUAGUUGUAAUACCUUGAGAUGUGAGUCUUUAUUAAGGAAGGUUUCUUUUGGUUUCAUUGAUAACUAUUCCUGUGAAUGACAUAUGCCAUUGAAUCACUAAAUUUGGAUCCUGGGGUCCCCUUCAAAAGACUAUCUAGUGGUUACAAAUGGUCAUGGAAUCUCCAUUCUAGCCUUUGGUGCAGAGGUCUGUUGUAAAGUGAUCUUUCUUUGGCUUUAGUGACUGUCACUACCUCAUUUCGCACAUGGAGCCGCACGCAUUCUGAGUACACACUGAGCUGAAAAGAGAUUCCAGCAAAGAGGAUUAUAUUUCUCCUUAGCAUGUUUUCAGAGCAGUCAAAUCCUUUCCUUCUCACAGAUGGAGAACCCAGGAGGCUUCUUGCUGAUGGGUUUUAUGAUUGAUAAGACUAAUGUCUCACUCAUUCCCUCUUAUUAUUUUCAAGGAUGGGAGCAGGUUCAAGGAGCAAGUUAAAAAAUCACAUAAAUCCUCCAGCAAGAAAUCUGUCUUCUCCUUUAAUAUUUUUUUUUCUUCUGGUUGUUACUUCCCUACCAAUUCUUUUUGCUCCAGGUUUCUUGGAAGAUUAACCGCUCUCACUUUUACAUACCAGGGAGAAAUUUAACCAAAGAUAUGAGAUGCUAUUUAGUACUCUUGCAAAGACAUGAACAUUUUUCUUGAAAUACAGUGGACAUAAAAAAUUCUGGAGGGUAAGUAGACUUGUAGACUCAAACUACAUCUGAAUGGCAUCCACUCAUUCAACAAAUAUUUACCAGUAUCUCCUGUAUAGUAGGCACUGGAAAUACAAGAUACAAAAAUUUUUGCCCUAAUCAUAAUGAACUUUCAGUAGAAAGCAUUAAAACUUUUAAGAGAUGAUUUUAGUAUGGUGCAUCAGAGAACCAAAUAGUUACUUCUAUGCUGGUACAGCUGAAGGCUUCCAAAACAUGGGAAGGAAGGUUUGCCUCAAAUGGAGCUGAGUAAUUUCUAUUUAUACUCCAUCAAAAUCCAUACCCUCCACAACUAUCUGUGCUUUUAUUUUCAUUUCUACUACUUAAAUGACUUCCUCAAAGUCAACAAUGACCCACAUUUUGUCAACUCCAGCAGUUAUUUUUAUUUUUGUAGUAUUCAACCUAUCAUCAAAAUUUGACAUAGUUUUUCACACCCUUUUAGAAAAAAAAAAAAAAACCUUCUCUUGAUAGCUCAGCUACAUCACUAUCUUGAUUUUUUUUCCACAUGCCUGAAGAAUCUCUUCCUCAGCCUCCUUUACGGAGUGCUCUGCUUGACCCAGAGGCAGAUAUGCCAUGGAGCUGAUGAAGCUUAAACUUCAGACCACUCCACCACACAGACUUCAUCAAAGACCCUGGGCAAAAGGGCUGACAUGGUCAUGAGUUUCUGCAAAACUUGCAAGACAAAUAUUUUAACCCAAGGGUUGAGACAGUAGUCUCUUUUCAUUCAACUCCACUAUCCUGUUUCCCAUCUUGUUCAGUGUUAUUGCAUUGUACUUGGUCAUUGUGGGAGUCUGGUGAAAGGGCAUUUGGGCUAAGGAUGGUUACCCUGGAUUUUAGUGAGUUUUAGUUAUGGCUCACUGUCGUGUUAAGUUAGCGAAGUUAUUGUCAGACAUCCCC